rnacentral:rRNA from 1 species
UAUGAAGGGGGCUAGCGUUGAUCGGAAUUACUGGGCGUAAAGCGCACGUAGGCGGAUUUUUAAGUCAGGUGUGAAAUCCCGGGGCUCAACCUCGGAACUGCAUUUGAAACUGGAAGUCUUGAGACCAGGAGAGGUUAGCGGAAUACCGAGUGUAGAGGUGAAAUUCGUAGAUAUUCGGUGGAACACCAGUGGCGAAGGCGGCUAACUGGACUGGUACUGACGCUGAGGUGCGAAAGUGUGGGGAGCAAACAGG